GAUGAACGCUGGCGGCGUGCCUAAUACAUGCAAGUCGAGCGAACAGACGAGGAGCUUGCUCCUCUGACGUUAGCGGCGGACGGGUGAGUAACACGUGGAUAACCUACCUAUAAGACUGGGAUAACUUCGGGAAACCGGGCUAAUACCGGAUAAUAUAUUGAACCGCAUGGUUCAAUAGUGAAAGACGGUUUUGCUGUCACUUAUAGAUGGAUCCGCGCCGCAUUAGCUAGUUGGUAAGGUAACGGCUUACCAAGGCAACGAUGCGUAGCCGACCUGAGAGGGUGAUCGGCCACACUGGAACUGAGACACGGUCCAGACUCCUACGGGAGGCAGCAGUAGGGAAUCUUCCGCAAUGGGCGAAAGCCUGACGGAGCAACGCCGCGUGAGUGAUGAAGGUCUUCGGAUCGUAAAACUCUGUUAUUAGGGAAGAACAAAUGUGUAAGUAACUAUGCACGUCUUGACGGUACCUAAUCAGAAAGCCACGGCUAACUACGUG
rnacentral:rRNA from 1 species